GUCUGAGAGGAUGAUCAGUCACAUUGGGACUGAGACACGGCCCAAACUCCUACGGGAGGCAGCAGUGGGGAAUAUUGGACAAUGGGCGCAAGCCUGAUCCAGCCAUGCCGCGUGAGUGAUGAAGGCCCUAGGGUUGUAAAGCUCUUUCACCGGAGAAGAUAAUGACGGUAUCCGGAGAAGAAGCCCCGGCUAACUUCGUGCCAGCAGACCGCGGUAAU
rnacentral:rRNA from 1 species